UAAUAGUUUAUACAUAAAUAAUAAUAAUAUAAUAUUUCUAUAAUAUCUCUACAUGCAAUUCACAUUUAUAUGACACUUGAUCUUCUUAUUCGGGGUAUCAACUUUGAUGAUUUAAUAGGCAUUGACUAUUCUGGUUUUCGUAGUGUACAGUUGGUUUACGUUGGCUUCGGCUUGUCACUUGUCGCCAUCUUGAUGUUUCUUCCUGCUACAUGAAGGUAAGUUGGCUUUUUAACAUUAGAAGUUAUUUAUUCUCUUGUUUCAUCAAUAAGAAAGGUGUUAAAAAAUGGUUUCUAAAUUUUUUAUUUCUUUAUUUUCAGGUGUUGUUGUUCGAAGUGGAUACUCGUCUGCGAAAUAAGUGUGUUGCCUGGUGUUUGUUUGUACGCCCUCAUGAAUCGUGAGAUUUCUGCCAUGCGGCGCUCCACGGGGUUCGAACUAGGAGAAUAUGUGGAAGUUCGAGAUAUUUUUAUAUCAGCCAGGUCAAGUAUUCUUUUCCAUGGUUUGCUACAAAAAUACGAUGCAUUAUCUGAUAGGAUGCGCUUAGGUUUUCCUACUUGCGGAGUCCACUUAUUCACUAUGCAAUUUGCUAGGACUUCCCCUGUUAGUUUACCGAUGGGAAAGAACAUGGUGUAUUUAGAGAAUGUGCAUGUUAAUACGA
rnacentral:misc_RNA from 1 species